GGCCGGUGACACGCGGGGCCGGUGACACGCGGGGCCGGUGACACGCGGGGCCGGUGACACGCGGGCUCCCGUGACGCCGACACCCCGCACCCCUCUCAGGGUGCUGGCGGGUGUCACGGGAGCCGCGGGGUGCGGAGCCACCCCCGCGCCCUGCACAGCCUGACCCACUUCCCGCAGGCGCUAGCGCACAGAUGGAGCAGACGCUGCGGGGCUGUGGGCGCAGGGACACGGCCCACCUCCUACCCUCGGUCCCUCUGGCUGUGUGUCACCCCUGGGCUGCCCCUCGGCAGGUGUCCCUCACGCAGCGUGGGGUGUCCCGCAGCAGGUGUAACUCUCUGGGUGUCCGUGUCCCCCCCCGUGUCCCCUCCAACUGCCCCCGAGAGUGUGUGGGGGUGUCCAUCCCUGUGUGGACUGUCCCCAUGCCCCCUCCCCUGUGGUCUCUGGCUGUCCCCACGUGGUCUUUGCCCAAGCAGAGGUGUCCCUGGGCUGUCCCCACAUGGUCCCAUCUGUGUAUCCUCAGCCGGGGCUGGGUGUUCUGGGAGUGUCCCUGCGCCCCGUCUCUCUGGGGCUGUGUCCCUGUGCCGGGAGCCCCGGCUGUCCCCUCUGGUGACCCCCAGCACACACAGGCAGGGAGGGGCUGAGCCCUGUCCCAUCCCACUGGGGAUUACAAGGGGCUCAACCCAGCUCUGCCUAAUCCGGGGGAUUACACGGGCUGGGCCCAGCCGGGGGGGGCGCCCAGGGGUGCCCCCCACAAGGACACGGCACGUGGCAGCUGAGGACAGCAAGGGGGGCUCCCAGCAGCAACCAAAGGCACCACGUACCCCAACACACGGCCACAGGGUGGGUUUGGGGGGUGAGGGGAGCACAGCAGACGCCCCAGGUUUAUUGGGGUGCGGGGUGGGGGCUCAGGCGCUGCCGGUGCCCUGCUGCAUUCGCUUGAGCAGCUCCUCGUCCUGCAGGGACAGCUCUGUCAGCUUCUUGCCCAUCCGCUCGUGCACCUCCAGGUACUUGGCCACGCAGCGGUCCAGGCACACGCAUUCCCCUUUGGACAGCUCCGACUCCUUGUAGUGCGGGGGGACGCACUUGCGGUGGCACGCCUGGGUCAUCCUGCACGCAUCGCCACCGCGCCUGAGUCCCGCACCACCCGGGAGCCGGCCCU
rnacentral:lncRNA from 1 species